CCCUUAGAUGUCCUGGGCUGCACGCGCGCUACACUGGAAGUUACGGAUUGAGAUACUACCUUGUCCGAAAUGGUCCGGGUAAUCACCUAAAAGCUUGUCAUAAUUGGAAUGGAUUAUUGUAACUAGUAAUCCUGAACGAGGAAUUCCUAGCAAGUCCCAGUCAACAGCUGGUACUGAUUACGUCCCUGCCCUUUGUACACACCGCCCGUCGCUACUACUGAUUGGACGUUUAAGCAAGAUUUUUAAACACUGACAGUGUGUAGUUCACGCUAUACUACAGUGAGAAGAAGAAGAUCGAGCUUACUUGUCUAGAGGAAGUAAAAGUCGUAACA
rnacentral:rRNA from 1 species